GCUCCACACAGUUCUGAAGUUUUCCACAAGGUACUUGUUUACAUCUAGUGCCUGUACAUCUAGUACAUCUCAGAGGCUGAGUCUGAGAAAGGUUACACUAUCUAGACACAGGUCUAGGGAUGCAUCAGGACCUGAGGGACAAGCCAGUCUGUAGAUCCUGGAAGCACAAGAGUAGAAGACUCAACAGCAAAGAAAACAGAAAAAACUAGAGCAUGGCCUGUGUCCUCAUGGCGCUUCCUAUUAAGCUGAGUGGAUGCCACGAUGAGGUAAGCAGCUUCCUCUAACACAAAGUCCUGCCAUAAUGAACCAUGUGCCUUGCUACAGUCCCAAAAGCAACAGGCCAACCAACUGUGGACUGAAACCUCCAAAACUGUGAGCCAAAAUAAACCUUUCCUCUUUCUAAGCUGAUUAUCUGAGGUAUUUGUUAUAGCAAUAGAAAGCUGACUAAAAUAGCCUACAAUGGAUUGCAAUACAUCAAAUAUGUUAAAAAUCUGUAUGUUCAUAAAGACACAGAAAAGAAUUUGUUAGUUUUGGAGGUUGUUAGGAAAACAAGACAUUAUCCUGAAAACUAGUAAAGAAUCAAGCAUUUAUUGUAGCUUUCCCAUGUAAACUCUAUCAUUGAAAAUAAAAAAUUAGUUGAUUAAAAAAAAGUUCAGAAAGAAUGUGU